CAUGAUAAUGUGCAGGGAAAUAACUACCUGCGACUUCGACGGAAAAACAAAUUUUUCAAGAUGAUAAUGUGCAGGGAAAUGACUUCCCGAAUCUCUUUUUCAUGCCCAGUUCUCUUUUUCUGACCAACAUGGUGCGGAGAGGAAGAGAUGGUGCUUUCGCCACUGUAAGUACUUAUGCUGUGAUGCCUUUUCUCCUCUUUCGAACUUGCACUUACGCUACUACCAGCAAAAGCAUAACAGCACCAUUCACGCCUCACCUUCGUCAAAUUGCGAAGGAGCUUUGCAAAUCUAGCAUUGUUGGCAGUAUUGAUGAUGCCCUAGGUUUGUUCCGUCACAUGGUUCGGAUGAAACCCUCGCCUUCCAUUGUCCAAUUUAAUCAAUUGUUGGGUUUGAUUGUGAGAAUGAAACAUUAUCCGGCUGCAAUUUCCCUAAUUAAUCAAAUGGAAUCUGCAGGAGUUACGCCCGACGUGCGUAGUCUGAAUAUCCUGACGAAUUGUUUCUGCAACUUGAAUCGAGUGGAUUUUGGUUUCUCUGUUUUAGGAAAAAUUUUGAAGCUCGGUUUGGAGCCAGACACCGCCACUUUGAAUACUCUUAUCAAGGGCCUUUGUAAGAUUGGGGAAAAUAGUGCGGCCCUUGAGUUGCUAAGGAAGAUGGAAGAAAGAGGUUGUGUGCGAGAUGUAGUAGCAUAUAGCACAAUCAUUGACAGCCUCUGCAAGGACAGGCUAGUAAAUGAGGCUUUCAGCCUCUUCUUAGAAAUGAUUGCUAAAAACAUUACUCCAAAUGCUGUCACCUACAACUCAUUAAUCUGUGGCUACUGUAGUUCAUGUCAGUGGAAAGAAGUUACUAGAUUGCUGAAUGAAAUGAUAGAUAAAGAAAUCACACAAGAUGUGUAUACCUUCAGCAUAUUGGUUGAUAACCUUUGUAAAGAGGGCAUGGUUGCUCAAGCUCACCGUGUUGUGGAAUGGAUGAUUGGAAGAGGUCUAGAGCCUAAUAGUGUAACUUACAAUGCCCUUAUGGAUGGAUUUGUUUUGCUUGGCCAAAUGAACAUGGCAUGGGAUGUAUUUGAUGUGAUGGUUGGCAGAGGUUGUUUGCCUAGUGUUUAUAGUUAUAACAUCUUGAUCAAUGGAUUUUGCAAGAGUAAAAGAAUGGAGGAAGCCAUGAAGCUCUUUGAAGAAAUGUCUCAAAAUGGAUUGAUUCCUGACACUGUGACUUUCACAACUCUUAUAAGCGGCCUAUGUAAGGUGGGCAGGCCGCAGGAUGCACAGAUGCUUCUAGAUAAGAUGCAAGCUCAUGGCCAAACUCCUGAUAUUCCAGAUAAAGUGACUGUGCAGCCAACUGCAGUUUCAUGGAGAUGCUUAAGGAACGUGGCGUGGCACCAUUUUCAAAAUGGGAAAAAGAGCUUCCGAAGAUUGUGUUUGAUCCACGUUUUAAGGGUCUUGCCUCUGAAGAAGGCUGCUGAAGAAAAGGCAAAAGCAAUCCGUGCAGCUGCAGCAUUGAGUUUCAAGUUCAUGCUUAAAGAAAAGGGAGAUAUUUAUCAUUGUGAUUGACAUGUCUUCUUUUUAAAAUUUUGAUUAACUUGCUUUGACAUGUCUUCUUUUUAAAAAUUUUAUUGAUCUGUUUGGGAAUCAUUAUGAAUUUUUGCUCAUAAACCUUUGAAACAAGAAGAUUCGCAUGGAAUGUGGUAAUUCGAGUCUGUGAUUUAACGUGCAGGGUCCUGCCUCUGAAGAAGGCUGCUGAAGUAAAGGCUAAAGCAAUCUGUGCAGCUGCAGCCUUGAGUUUCAAGGCCAUGCUUAAAGAAGAGGGAGAUAUUACUAUAAAUACACAUUGGUCAAGGAAUUCAACAUUUCACCAGUUUGUUUUUCUCAAAAAAUCAUGUAAAGAACAAAGACUACGACGAAUCAAGGCUCUACCUUCGGGAAAGAUGACAGCAACAACAUUAAGAAAUGGCUAGUGACACCCCCACACCAAGCAACUUUAUCGGGACCACAUUCGUGCUACCGAACCAAUAUUCAAUAAGGUUCUAGACAUUGAAUUUUUUAAAGAGGAUUUUCCAGGCAUUUUGCCUAUGUUCAAAGCUUUAGGUUGGGAAAAGUUUAUCACAUAUCAAGCAAAAGGAAUGUAUCCAAACUUGGUUAAUAUCUUUUAUGCAAAUAUGAUAAAAGGGGACACUGUGACCUCCACUCAGACCAUGGAAAAAUCAUUUGCAAUUACCCCCCAAAGCUUAGCUGCUUUUUUAAGAAUUGAAGCGAGAGAAUUUGAGUGUCCACCUCUUGGCCAAUCAUGGAUUAUGGCUCAAAAUUUUACACCUAAGGAAUUUCUACCUUUGCUUAUGACUACAGACCCUAUCUACUUUGGUCAUCCUCCUCUCUAUAAUCAACUGAACUUAUAGGCCCAAAUCCUACAAAAGCUCAUUACUUACAAUAUCUUGCGUAGAAUAGGAUCACAUGACCAUGUUUCCUAUCUUGAUUGCUUUGUAAUGUAUUGUCUGCUAAAGGGGAAGAAUCUUGACUUGCCAAGCUUAAUCUUGAAAUGGAUGCUUUCGAGAGAAGAAUCUCGUAGAGUAAUUCUUCCAUACGGUAAAAUUCUACAUGUUGUCUUUGACCUUCUUGGAGUAACCACGCCAUCCACUCUGUUUAUCAAGCAAACCCAUUAUGACAUAUUUUCAUCUACCACAAUUAAACAAAUGGGGUAUGAAUGACAUGACCAAGGUUGGUUUCACAAAAUGGUGGAGACGUAGACAAGCUCCUGAACCACAACAAGCUGCUCCUCCAGCAGAUAAUACUCCUUCGUGGUUUGUAGCCUAUCAGCAGCAGAUGAUUGGUUUCCGUGAUGAAGUGCAUGUAGGUUUCAGCUUGCUUCAAGCGAAUUACACUUCUUUUGACCAGCGGCAUGGACGAAUUGAACAACAUAUGGCCGAUUCUUCUACUUCACGAGGCAAGGCUCCUACGGAGGCAAGCUCAGGUGAUACUAAAAAUGAAUAUGAUGAAGAUAAAGAAGAUGAUGAUGAGGAAGGAACUGAAGCUGAUGGUGGCAAUGAUGUGUAGUUAUUUUCUUUGAAUGAACUAACUCGGGUUGUAAUAUUUGUGUUUGACACUGCUCUUCUAUUCUGUUUUUGCUCUUUUUGUUUUUCUGUUUCUUUUGACUAUGUUAUUUCACAUGCUGUAAUUGGAUUACAUUGAAUAUCUUUCACAUGUUAAAUGAUGGAUAACUAUGUUAUGAUUGUCUUAUGAAUU